UGGGGAAUAUUGCGCAAUGGGCGAAAGCCUGACGCAGCAACGCCGUGUGAGGGAUGAAGGCCUUCGGGUUGUAAACUUCUGUCAGCAGCAAAGAAGGGGUUAUAGGUUAAUAACCUGUAAUCUUGACGGUACCUGCAAAGGAAGCACCGGCUAACUCUGUGCCAGCAGCCGCGGUAAUACAGAGGGUGCAAGCGUUGUUCGGAAUUAUUGGGCGUAAAGCGCGCGUAGGCGGUUUAGUAAGUCAGGUGUGAAAUCCCGGGGCUCAACCUCGGAACUGCAUUUGAUACUGCUAGACUUGAAUCACGGAGAGGGUGGCGGAAUUCCCGGUGUAGAGGUGAAAUUCGUAGAUAUCAGGAGGAACACCCGUGGCGAAGGCGGCCACCUGGACGAUGAUUGACGCUGAGGCGCGAAAGCGUGGGGAGCAAACAGG
rnacentral:rRNA from 1 species